GACACAGUGCCAGAGUGGUUAAUGGGUUAGACUUGAAUUUCAUGUUCAGUCAUCUAAUGGUAAGUCACCGAUGCAUGACCAUCAUGUCAACAAUAUGCUAACAAAUCUAAAGGCUUCGGCCUCGCAAGUUCGAAUCUUGUCUGUGUCG